rnacentral:rRNA from 1 species
CACGUAGUUAGCCGGUGCUUCUUCUCCACGGUACCGUCACCCACCAGGUGGGCUUCGUCCCGGGCGAAAGGAGUUUACAACCCGAAGGCCUUCCAUCCCCCACGCGGCGUCGCUGCAUCAGGCUUGCGCCCAUUGUGCAAUAUUCCCCACUGCUGCCUCCCGUAGGAGUCUGGGCCGUGUCUCAGUCCCGAUGUGGCCGUCCACCCUCUCAGGCCGGCUACCCGUCGCCGCCUUGGUAGGCCAUUACCCCACCAACAAGCUGAUAGGCCGCGGGCUCAUCCCACACCGCAAAAGCUUUCCACCACACUGUCUACAGUGUGGUCGUAUGUGGUAUUAGACCAGUUCCCAGGCUUAUCCCACAGUGCGGGGCAGAUCACCCACGUGUUACUCACCCGUUCGCCACUCGAGUACCCACCACCAAGGUCGGUCGGGCCUUUCCGUUCGACUUGCAUGUGUUAAGCACGCCGCCAGCGUUCGUCCUGAGCCAGGAUACAAACGUACUCUACGAGUAC